rnacentral:rRNA from 1 species
GGGCGAAUCCUGAUGGAGCACGCCGCGUGAGUGAAGAAGGUUUUCGGAUCGUAAAACUCUGUUGUAAGGGAAGAACAAGUACAGUAGUAACUGGCUGUACCUUGACGGUACCUUAUUAGAAAGCCACGGCUAACUACGUGNCAGCAGCCGCGGUAAUACGUAGGUGGCAAGCGUUGUCCGGAAUUAUUGGGCGUAAAGCGCGCGCAGGCGGUCCUUUAAGUCUGAUGUGAAAGCCCACGGCUCAACCGUGGAGGGUCAUUGGAAACUGGGGGACUUGAGUGCAGAAGAGGAAAGUGGAAUUCCAAGUGUAGCGGUGAAAUGCGUAGAGAUUUGGAGGAACACCAGUGGCGAAGGCGACUUUCUGGUCUGUAACUGACGCUGAGGCGCGAAAGCGUGGGGAGCAAACAGGAUUAGAUACCCUGGUAGUCCACGCCGUAAACGAUGAGUGCUAAGUGUUAGGGGGUUUCCGCCCCUUAGUGCUGCAGCUAACGCAUUAAGCACUCC